GAUGAACGCUAGCUACAGGCUUAACACAUGCAAGUCGAGGGGUAACAAGAGAAAAGCUUGCUUUUCUUGUUGACGACCGGCGCACGGGUGAGUAACGCGUAUCAAACCUGCCUAUAACUAGGGAAUAACCUUGCGAAAGUAAGACUAAUACCCUAUGAUUUCCUUUGAUGACAUCAGAUUAGGAAUAAAGAUUUAUCGGUUAUAGAUGGGGAUGCGGCUGAUUAGCUUGUUGGCGGGGUAACGGCCCACCAAGGCAACAAUCAGUAGGGGUUCUUAGAUGAAGGUCCCCCACAUUGGAACUGAGACACGGUCCAGACUCCUACGGGAGGCAGCAGUGAUGAAUAUUGGUCAAUGGGCGGAAGCCUGAACCAGCCAAGUAGCGUGCAGGAUGACGGCCCUAUGGGUUGUGAACUGCUUUUAUACAGGAAUAAAGUUAGCCACGUGUGGUUAUUUGUAGGUACUGUAUGAAUAAGGACCGGCUAAUUCCGUGCCAGCCGCCGCUGUAA
rnacentral:rRNA from 1 species